ensembl:snRNA U5 U5 spliceosomal RNA
AUACUCUUGUUUCUCUUCAGAUCGCAUAAAUCUUUCACCUUUUAUUAAAGAUUACCAUGGAGAGGAACAAUUAUGAGUCAUAAGCUAAUUUUUGGAGGCCUUGCUUUGGUGAGGGU